GAGGGUACAGCUCAGUGGUAGAGUGCAUGCUUAGCAUUCACGAGAUUCUGGGUUCAAUCCCUAGUACCUUCA
rnacentral:tRNA from 1 species